UUGUCCGGAUUUAUUGGGCGUAAAGAGCUCGUAGGCGGCUUGUCGCGUCGAUUGUGAAAUCCCGCGGCUCAACCGCGGGUCUGCAGUCGAUACGGGCAGGCUAGAGUUCGGUAGGGGAGACUGGAAUUCCUGGUGUAGCGGUGAAAUGCGCAGAUAUCAGGAGGAACACCGAUGGCGAAGGCAGGUCUCUGGGCCGAUACUGACGCUGAGGAGCGAAAGCGUGGGGAGCGAACAGG
rnacentral:rRNA from 1 species